GAUGAACGCUGGCGGCGUGCCUAAUACAUGCAAGUAGAACGCUGAAGGAGGAGCUUGCUCUUCUGGAUGAGUUGCGAACGGGUGAGUAACGCGUAGGUAACCUGCCUGGUAGCGGGGGAUAACUAUUGGAAACGAUAGCUAAUACCGCAUGACAACAGUUAUUGCAUGAUAACUGUUUAAAAGGGGCAACUGCUCCACUACCAGAUGGACCUGCGUUGUAUUAGCUAGUUGGUGAGGUAACGGCUCACCAAGGCGACGAUACAUAGCCGACCUGAGAGGGUGAUCGGCCACACUGGGACUGAGACACGGCCCAGACUCCUACGGGAGGCAGCAGUAGGGAAUCUUCGGCAAUGGACGGAAGUCUGACCGAGCAACGCCGCGUGAGUGAAGAAGGGUUUCGGAUCGUAAAGCUCUGUUGUAAGAGAAGAACGGGUGUGAGAGUGGAAAGUUCACACUGUGACGGUAUCUUACCAGAAAGGGACGGCUAACUACGUG
rnacentral:rRNA from 1 species